rnacentral:misc_RNA from 1 species
UGGGUUGUGGUGGUUGUUGACUCUUGUGUUAUAUCUGCUUCUGGACUUGUGUAUUUCAUCUUUGGCUGUAGGUAUCUUGAGGUCACGGUGGAUUGUUUCGUUGGCAACAUACCAGGGUGCAUUUAAUAGGGAUCUUAGCGUUUUCGAUUGAAAGCGUUGGAGUAUUUCAAUGUUGGAAUUACUUGCUGUUCCCCAUAGUUAGAUUCCGUAGGUCCAGACAGGUUUUAUUACGGCCUUGUAGAGGGUUAUUUUGUUCUGUAUGUUUAGUUUGGAGCCGUUGGAGUAUUUCAAUGUUGGAAUUACUUGCUGUUCCCCAUAGUUGGAUUCCGUAGGUCCAGACAGGUUUUAUUACGGCCUUGUAGAGGGUUAUUUUGUUCUGUAUGUUUAGUUUGGAGCGUCGGCCCGUGAGCCAAUAGAAUUUUCUUAGUUUUUCCUUCAGUUGCUUUGUUUUUUCCGAGAUAUGUUUUUUCCAGGUUAGCCUCCUGUCCAGGGUCAUGCCCAGGUAUCUUACGGAGUCCUUGCUUGGGAUUAUUGUGUUGUUAAUGGUGACCUGGGGGCAGGUUUGUUUUCGGAGCGUGAAG